CAAUCCGCCAUAUUGAUAGAUGACGAUAGAAGACACAUGGCUUCCUAGCAAAAUCGCUUAAGUGAUUUUGUUUCUUAUAAAUAUUGAAUAUUAAUGUGUAAAUUGUGAAAAUAGGACGGAUUAAAUAUGGUAAAGUGCAAUGCCCCACUUUAUAGGAGUGCUACAUAUAAUAAAACACCUGAAAUAACAUUUCAUAAAUUUCCAAAUGAUGUCCACUGGAGAAAUUCCUGGUUGGCAAAUAUGAAUAUGACAAAUUGGCAGCCCACAAAAUCUUGUGUGUUAUGUUCAAAACAUUUUGAAAAUGAAUAAAGUAGUAAAUUGUUUGAUUUGUCAAUCAUUAAUGAUAGGCGUAAAAGAAAAUUUCUUGUGUUCAUUAAUAAACAAAAAGAUAGAGGAGGUUUGAUUUACCCAUCAGAUGGUCUGAUUAAAAUUAUUCAAUCAUGUAAGAAGGUUUCGCAGAUGAUUAAAGGAAAAAUAUUAA